AGAGGGAGGAGGGUUCAGGAUGGGGAACACACUGUAUACCUGUGGCGGAUUCAUUUCGAUAUUUGGCAAAACUAAUAACAAUAUUGUAAAGUUUGAAAAUAAAAUAAAAUUUAAAAAAAAAAAUAGAAGAAGGUUUUAAUACUGCUCAAACUUCAAAAGAAAAGAAAGAGAUCUCACUAUCUGAGACUAUUGGGACUAUCUAAUGGUUAUGUAAUGUAAUUGUAAGUAUAAAAUAAAAAAGGGACUUCCUUAGAAAACAGGCUUCCCUUGUGGCUCAGCUGGUAAAGAUCCACCUUCUCCCACCUGCAAUGUGGGAGACCUGGGUUUGAUCCCUGGGUUGGGAAGAUCCCUUGGAGAAGGGAAAGGGUACCCACUCCAGUAUUCUGGCCUGGAGAAUUCCAUGUGGCAAGAGUCGGACACGACUGAGCAACUUUCACUCAUUGGAAAACACUUUUUGCCUGGAACUUCAUGUCUUAUAAGGUUCAUUGCUUAAAAAAAAAAAAAAGGACUAAGUAAUUAACUGUGCUCUGGCAAAAGAGAAGGAAGUCUGCCCAACCUCUGAUCUAAAUAUUCUAAAAUUCCUAGAGUAGAAGUAUAGCCAUAAACAAAAAAAUAUUUAAUCUUAAUACCAGAUGUGUAAACAAUCAAGGAAAAAGUUUAUAUUUUAUAAUAACAAUCCUCAGGAUUACAACAUAAAUAUGAAUCUUUAAAAAUUAAAAAAAGUAUUUAAAACUAGGUUAAACCUUUUUUCUACAAUAUAUGUUAAAGGAAAUGUCCAAUACAAGGACACCUCAUUCUAAAGGAACUCAAUUCCGGUAUUUUAAAGCAUUUAAUAUAUUUUGACAGUAAUGGAAUCUAAACAUAUCAGUUCAUUACAUAUGUACAUUUUCCCACCUCCAAAGUGGUUUGUUUCAUAGGCUGAAUUUCUAAGAAAAAAAAAUGAUAAAUGCACAGUUUUAAAUUAUUCUUAGAGAAUCUCUGAACCAGUUAACAUAUUCUUACUGCAGGUACUUAGAUAAUGCUUAACCUGAGAAGCAGAUAAUAGGAAUAAUUAAGAAGCAAAAUAGCAAAAAUGAAAAAAAACAGAGAUGUUUUAAAAAAGAAAACAGGUAAAUAUUUUAUAAACAUGCUAUAGAAGCUUUUGUGUUGAGAUAUUUCCAAUAACAUUAUAGACCUGGGUCAAAGGACAUUUCUCAAGAAGUUCUUUAAAUUUUCUUAGUAAUUUUGACUAUAAUUAGGAUAAGAUGUUUCCAGGAGGAUGGUGGUGUGAAAGCCUCAUUGUCCAAAUUGCUAACAACCUCUUUCCCAUAUGGUUUCCUGGGUGUUAAUCUACUUCUCCAUUCACUUGCUCUUAGAAAUAUAAAAUAAGCACACUGUCAAUUAACAUUUCUAUUCAUUAUUGAAGCUCCAAUGUACAAUCAGAGCAGCUUUUAAAGAAUUUCAAAUAAUAUGUUUUCUCAAGUGUCUGAGAGAUUGAAAGGGUUAAAUUUUAUCUCUCUGCAUACAAAAGUAUAAAAUGAAGCAUAUGUUUUAAUAACUAACUAGAUUCCUUAAGAAAGCUGUUUGCAAACCGUGAUGAUGAGAGUCCCAGAUUUCUAAGAAGUAAAGAAGAGACUAUUGAAGGUGAGAGAGGCACAGACACUGAGGGCGAAGGCUCCCUUUUGCUUCACUCCAUCCCGUAGCUACAACUGAUGCACUGGGAUCCCUCGUAGCACUUUACCUGAA
ensembl:lncRNA